GACGAACGCUGGCGGCGUGCCUAAUACAUGCAAGUCGAGCGAGUCUGCCUUGAAGAUCGGAGUGCUUGCACUCUGUGAAACAAGAUACAGGCUAGCGGCGGACGGGUGAGUAACACGUGGGUAACCUGCCCAAGAGAUCGGGAUAACACCUGGAAACAGAUGCUAAUACCGGAUAACAACAGAUGAUGCCUAUCAACUGUUUGAAAGAUGGCUCUGCUAUCACUUUUGGAUGGUCCCGCGGCGCAUUAGCUAGAUGGUGAGGUAACGGCUCACCAUGGCCAUGAUGCGUAGCCGACCUGAGAGGGUAAUCGGCCACAUUGGGACUGAGACACGGCCCAGACUCCUACGGGAGGCAGCAGUAGGGAAUCUUCCACAAUGGACGCAAGUCUGAUGGAGCAACGCCGCGUGAGUG
rnacentral:rRNA from 1 species